UGAUAAGUUGUUUUUCACAGGAGACGGU
rnacentral:sRNA from 1 species